GCGGAUGUAGCCAAGUGGAUCAAGGCAGUGAAUU
rnacentral:tRNA from 1 species